rnacentral:rRNA from 1 species
GAUGAACGCUGGCGGCGUGCCUAAUUCAUGCAAGUCGAGCGAACAGACGAGGAGCUUGCUCCUUUGACGUUAGCGGCGGACGGGUGAGUAACACGUGGAUAACCUACCUAUAAGACUGGGAUAACUUCGGGAAACCGGAGCUAAUACCGGAUAACAUGUUGAACCGCAUGGUUCAACAGUGAAAGACGGUCUUGCUGUCACUUAUAGAUGGAUCCGCGCCGCAUUAGCUAGUUGGUAAGGUAACGGCUUACCAAGGCAACGAUGCGUAGCCGACCUGAGAGGGUGAUCGGCCACACUGGAACUGAGACACGGUCCAGACUCCUACGGGAGGCAGCAGUAGGGAAUCUUCCGCAAUGGGCGAAAGCCUGACGGAGCAACGCCGCGUGAGUGAAGAAGGUCUUCGGAUCGUAAAACUCUGUUAUUAGGGAAGAACAAAUGUGUAAGUAACUAUGCACGUCUUGACGGUACCUAAUCAGAAAGCCACGGCUAACUACGUG